rnacentral:lncRNA from 1 species
GUUGGUGGCUGUGUGUGUGAGACCCUGAGCAUAGCAUUUAACUUGUCUUGGGAAAUGUGGAUAACAAUAGCACUGAACUACAUAGGAUUGUUGGGAGAAUCAAAUGUAAAAAUAAAUGCAAAGUGCUAUAUAUAAAGGAUAGUUAUUGUUAUUAUCAUUAAUCCAAUUAGCCUAAAAGAUAAAGCCUCCAAAAUAUUUUUAAAUGAACAGAUUCAGAAGAUUAGAUAAAGAUCUGAGAUCUUGGACCUGAUAAGUUAUCUAGGGCUAAUUACUUUGUGCUGAAUUUGUCCAUUUGCCUACUGGAUUUUUUAGGCAAAGAAAAAAAAGACAGACCAAAACAAGUGAGGUUAUCAUGGCUCUCUCUGGCUCCUCUGCUCUGAUCAACUUGACUGCAACUUCUGUUCCAUGCUUAUGGCCUCUUCUACAGGAGAGGGUUUUGCCAAAGGAUGCUAGCAAACAAAAGGAGAUCAUCUUUGUUACUUCCCUUACUUUGAUGUUGUUAUUGUCAUUUCAGCUCUUUUACUGGGUUAGUUGCUGUUGUCAUUAUCACUGUUGUCUUGGUGCCAUCAUUAUCAUUUUUGUGCUGAUGUUUCAGGCUUUAUUAUUAUUGGAUGUUGAGGGGUUUUGCCAUAUAUAUUAUGUCUUUUAUUGUGGGCGUCGUUGGGGGCAUUAUCGUUCCUUAACUCUGUCCUCUAAGGUUUUCCUUGGAACAAUGCCAUAGCAGGUGCUCCUUAUGUCAUUCAAUGACCAGAUGUAGAGGGGCCCUCUGUGCACAGGUACUUGGACCACUCCUGCUCUCAACUGCAACUAGGAGCCUCCAGUAUUGUUCAUGUGAAGGUCAAGAAUGUGUUGCCUACCCUACCCCAUCCCCAUGAAAUACACAUUUAAAAGAUGGUUAACCCAGUGUGUCAACUUUCACAUAUUAAAAUGUUAUCUCUACCCGUGGUUUUACCUGUGUGUAUUGUUUCUCUGUGGGCAUGCUUUUGUCUUCUCAGCAUCCAUUUGUGAAUUCUCUGUGUAGUCCUUCAAUGUGUGCAUAUAUGUAUCCCUUUUCAUGUGUGUAAUUUUUCAGUAAUUUGUAUGUGUGUAGUCUCAGUGUUUGUAUAGUCUCUCUUUGUCAGAUGAGUUUGUGUAGCCUCAGUAUGUGCAUGUAUGUAGUCUGUGGCACAGAGAGAGGGGUG